UUUUCAUAUCAUCAAUGAUGCAACUCCUAUUUAUUGCACAUAAAUAACACAUAUACCUUAUAAGGGGUAGCUGUAUUGACUAUUGAAUCAGUGAACAAUUAAUGUGGCACUAAAUGGGGUUGGAAGGUACGAACAGUGACUCUCGAUCAACAACUAUGAUAACAAGGAUUUCCUAAUAUUUUAAGUACUAGCAACUGAAUUUAAAAAAUAUAUAUUAAAUUUCAAUCCUAAUUAUGCAGUUCAAGCAUUACAGUCCAUGAUUCAAUAUGAUUUCAACGAAUUAAAACUAAAUAGAUAAAAACUCGAGUAGGCAAGCUGAACACAGAUCAAAAAUGGCUUCAUUUCAAUCAAAUUUGAAGUUACAUCAGUGUGGAUUUCAACUGUGUACCUGGAGAUUGCAAAUAAGAUGUAAAGCGAGGUUAGCAUAGCGACGGGCAAUCAGCAGCAAAUUUGAACACCCAGCAAAACUCAAACUCAACACAAAUUUACACAUAGCCAAUCCUAGGAUUCAAUUUUGAAUUAUUUUUAAACCCAGACCAGCUCAACAAACCAGGAGGAUUUGAAGAAAAACAACAAUCAGAACUAAACACCCAACCACAAACUACUUGAGUGCACCCAAAUAGAUCCGAAAUUGAUUUUUAUACUUCCAGAACUCCAAAAGAGCAAAUUUCAACCAAACACCAACGUGAUUAAACCCAAAACUAUUAGAUAUGACCUCAACAACAACCCUGGAUACUUCAGCCACCAAAAGUACAGUAAAAACUAGCUAAAACAAAGGAAUUGAACCCUUGAAACUAUUCAAAACUAUUUUUAAUAACCUCUAAUCCACAAAUACCAAAUUUUGAACUACAAAAAAUGAAAUAAAACUGAAAACUUAAUGGAACAAUAUUUGUUUUUGGUUUCUCUAUUGAUUAUGUAAUGUUUUUGGAUUUUCUUUUGAAUCUAAAGAGAAUUAAAAUCUGAAAUUUCUGAACUGAAAAUUGAGCUUCAAAAAUGAAAAAAUGAGCAGUCUACUUGAGAAACUUUUGGCUGGAGGAAGAAGAAGAUCCUUUUUCAUGGCAUCUAAUGCAUUUUUGUAGAAGUAAAGUAGGGAAGCCCCCAAAUUUCAGUUUUCACAAUUAGUCCCUGUCCAUUUUCACUUUAACCUCUCAUUUGUGACUUGUUGCCCAAGUAACUACCUUAGUUUUAUUGAAAUGCACACUAAGGUACCAUUCUAGAAUGUCCUAUGCCUGUUGCAAUUCCUAAACUACCCCUUCUUUACUCUUGAAUUUGCUAUUUUUCAAGAUUCUUCCACUUUCCAUCCCCAAACUACCCUUCUAACAAUCUUAAAUUUACUAACCUUAGAUAACUAAACCAAAACCCAUUUACCCUUAGCUAGAAACUAACUAAAAGUAAUUAAAAGUGAACUAUUCAGCUAUACCCAAACAACUAACUUCAAUAUUAUACUCAUUAACACAGAAAUUGGGCAAGAAAUUAAUACUAUUGAAAUCAGCCUUCAAAUCUAAAUCAAUAAACAUAACAAAGAACAAUCUUCUUGACAAAUUAAGCAUUCAAAAUCAAAACAAAAGAAAAGUUGAAAUUAAGCUAAACCCAUUGCUAAAAAAUAUGAACAUGAUUGUAUCGACCCAAAAUAAUCGAUCAUAGCGAUUCUAAAACUAAGACUAUGCUUAACUAAAAAUAAUCAAAGCAUGAGUAAAAAUGGAAAUUAGCACCAGGCAAAAUUUAUCGAUUAAAAAGAUGAGUAAACGAAUCGGAAUCGACAUCAAACUAUCCUAGUAGAAUAGGAAACCAAUCAACCAUAACAAUGAACUCAAUUAAACAAAACAAACAAGCACAAAAUAUGGGAAGAAGGGCAGUGAUGGAACGAGACAGAGAAGAACGACAAGCUGAAUUAAACGAAACGGAAACCUGGCGAAGAACCGAGACGAGGUGAAAUACCUACACGGGCAAGUGGACAUGGCUUGGAAGCUCUCACAUGGACUCCGAUUUGAUUCGAAAUUGGCAUUAAUCGAGUGUUCUUGUCGAGAACAAACGACCAAUGUCAGUUUCAAACCCCAAUCGUUCUCUGAAGCGAAGACUUUAGGAGAUUUAGAUUUUCUUCUUCUU
rnacentral:lncRNA from 1 species